UGACCCCAGGUUAGGCGAGAGC
rnacentral:rRNA from 1 species